CAAUGCCAGACCGAGUAAGCGAGAGCCGAAAGCAGGGCGAGAAGAGGAAGGAAGGCGCGACCGUCGGCCUCAGCGCCGUAAAUAUGCACCCCGCGCGGGGAGCCGGACGCUUCUUGCAUGGCCGGGCGCUCCGGCGCUCAGCCCGGUUUCAUGGCCUCCCCGCAAGCGGCUGUUCGAGCGCCAUUGCUAGCCGUGCGGGGUGCCUUCCAUGAACUCAGACGAU
rnacentral:sRNA from 12 species